CCUGCAAAGUCAUCCCAGGAGCACCAUGCAGCCUUUGUAUCUCCUCAGGGAACAGACAGGCUCAAACUCUGUGGUAGUAAAAGAGGAAUUCAUGUGGCCCAGCCCAAGGCACACUAUGCUUUUUCCUCCCAAAGGAAGACCCUGUCUCUACUUCAUACCUUGCUCAAGUGCCCCAGGAGAUACUUCUGCCAGCUCCUGGCGUUACCCAGCAGCCCUUUUGGAUAACUAUCUCAUGAACAGCUGCAUACCUGAGUAAAUGAAGGGAACAACUGCUGGACAGGUUUGCAUUCAGCAAGACCUUUACAUACCACAGGAACCCCAGCGAGAAAGCAUCUGCUCUGCCAACAUACACAAACUUCAAGCUGUUCCUUGGCUGAUCAUGAACUGAUCCUGUUGUAGCAAAACUCCUUCUCUGCUUUUGUUAUCAAGAAAUAUUGUUGAAUAACUAAUCUGUAUUAAAUUACAUCAGUUUUCUUAGUUCCUGGGAACUGAACAUUGCAGAGAAUAUCUACAUUAAUGUUCCAGUUUGAGGAGUGUGAUCUGAAGUAUCUCAGCUGUCCCAUUUAUUGGGCUUUAUUUUGCACUGUGAAGCUGUCUUAGACACACUGUGCAGGAACAGAAGAGACAGUAUGCAAAGCAAAACCUGACCUCAGCAUAUAUUGUGGAGCUGGAUCCUCAAUGCCAACUGUUUUUCUCUACACAUCCAUCCACAUCCACCCUCUACUGCGCUGUACACAUCAUUCAGGUAGACGCAGACUGACCAUCUGAAUGACACAACACAUUUUUCCUGACAAAACCUAACCUAUCAUAAAUUUAUUACAAGUGAGUAAGGAAAACAGAAUAUUUCUUUAUCAGAAUUGAGAUUUUAUAUGGAUAAUAAUUUAUUUAAAAUUGUAGCAAAACAAAGUUUUACUCUUGUUAUUUAAUAAAUGAAUUUGCCUUUGCAC
rnacentral:lncRNA from 7 species